CCUACGGGAGGCAGCAGUGAGGAAUAUUGGUCAAUGGGCGCAAGCCUGAACCAGCCAAGUCGCGUGAGGGAUGACGGUCCUAUGGAUUGUAAACCUCUUUUGUCGGGGAGCAAGGCCCGCCACGGGUGGCGUGAAGGAGAGUACCCGAAGAAAAAGCAUCGGCUAACUCAGUGCCAGCAGCCGCGGUAAUACGGAGGAUGCGAGCGUUAUCCGGAUUUAUUGGGUUUAAAGGAUGCGUAGGCGGAAGGUUAAGUCAGCGGUAAAAUGUCGGUGCUCAACACCGGCCUGCCGUUGAAACUGGUUUUCUUGAGUGAGCGAGAAGUAUGCGGAAUGCGUGGUGUAGCGGUGAAAUGCUUAGAUAUCACGAAGAACCCCGAUUGCGAAGGCAGCUUACUAAACUGUGACUGACAUUGAUGCUCGAAAGUGUGGGUAUCAAACAGGAUUAGAUACCCCUGUAGUC
rnacentral:rRNA from 1 species